CUGGCAGAGCAAUCGUGCUGGAGACAGAAAACUCAAUCAAAGGAUUUGAGACUUCACUGCAGAACAGAAGGAACAGGAACUGAGGAAUUCUGAGCCCAGACCAGCAUUCAGUUGUGUACUCAAGAUAUCUCUUCACCUGUGUCCUUGACCAAAACCUGUUGCUGUUACCCGGUAAAUUCCCAGUUUUGACAUCAGCAGCACAGUGUGAAUCUGCAGUAAUAUCCCAAACCAAAUACUCUGACUUGUAAGAGAAACUUUUGCUUUUACAACCUCUGUUCCACCCUACCUUACUUGACUGUCUGAAUUUCCCCAUAACACCGUUUAGAAAAUGCCAUUUUAAAGCUGCUUUUAACAGUAA